GGGGUAAACCUGCGAAACUCGAAUGAACGAACGGAGAGAUUCAUCGUCACUCCGCGGCGUACGGUGAUGCGUUGCGAUGUUCCCGAUCUCGGUCGGUGGGCACGUCGCGUCACCGUCUACGUCCGUGGACGGCGUGCACUUCUCUCUCAGUACGCAUUGCAUCGCGACCCGUUCGAUGUCGGUCUAAGCGCCGUCCGGGAGCCCCGCUGUCGCCCCUAACGGGACGGCUGCGGGACCGUUGACGAACGCCGACCGGCCGUCGGACGGUAUAACAUAUGAAACGCGCACGCGUCUUGCACGCGUCCGGCCCGACGCAAGUCAACGUCGUAUCCGACGUACCGCCCGAGCGCGGACGUAGGUGCGGCGCGUCUGUCGUCGCAGCCGUGUAGUCUCGGACUGUGCGCGUCUCUGUCAGCGAUGAUUCAGUUUCGGGCACUCGCAGGACCCGUCUUGAAACACGGACCAAGGAGUCUAGCAUGUAUGCGAGUCAUUGAGAUUAUUGAAUAAACUGAGAGGCGUAACGAAAGUGAAGGCGCGCGCUCGUCGCGCGCUCAGGGAGGAUGGAGCGUCGAUCCAGGUCGAUCUCUCGCACUCCCGAGGCGUCUCGUUUCCAAUCUGUGAAUGCAGGCGCGCUC
rnacentral:rRNA from 1 species